UUUACGCCCACGUUCGCUGCCUCACCUUACCUCACCCUUCUCUCUCUCUCUCUCUCUCUCUCUCUAAACUUGAAACGAAACCUCGCCACUGCAACGAACACAACCACUUCCUAGUGCUUCCAAUUCCUCACUCAUCACGGAACUCUCACGUUGUACUGUUUGGAUCUGUCUGUCAUUAAAUGUGCCCCUGAAAGAGUUUUUCAGCACAGCAAACUUCCGUUUAUUAAAGAAACGGUGUUUCGGCAAUGCACCGCGUGGGUAGUGCUGGUAAUGGAAACAGUUCAACUCGUCCUCGCAAGGAGAAGAGAUUAACCUACGUGUUGAAUGAUUCUGACGACACUAAGCAUUGUGCAGGCAUAAAUUGUCUGGCUCUACUUACAUCUGUGGCAUCUGAUGUGUCUGAUUAUCUCUUCACUGGGAGUCGUGAUGGCAGGCUAAAACGAUGGGUAUUAGAUGUGGAUAGAGCAACAUGCUCGGCUACCUUUGAAUCUCAUGUUGAUUGGGUUAAUGAUACUGUUCUUGUUGGUGAUAGUACACUCGUUUCUUGUUCUUCAGAUACAACCAUAAAGCUAUGGAAUGCCUCGUCCUUUGGAACUUGUACAAGGACUCUACGACAACACUCUGACUAUGUUACUUGCCUUGCAGCGGCAGGAAAGAAUAGCAAUGUUGUUGCCUCUGGUGGCCUUGGUGGGGAGGUUUUUAUAUGGGAUAUUGAGUCUGCCCUUGCUCCAACCUCUAAGAGUAGUGAUGCUACGGGGGAUGAAUCUUCAAAUGGUAUCAAUGGUUCUGGCAACUUACUACCAUUGACAAGCUUGCGUACCAACUCAAAUGACAAUAUGUCUGUGCACACUACUCAAAGUCAGGGAUAUAGUCCAAUUUCAGCCAAAGGCCAUAAAGAUUCUGUUUAUGCUUUGGCUAUGAAUGAAAGUGGAACAAUUCUUGUCUCUGGAGGCACAGAAAAGGUUGUUCGUGUCUGGGACACAAGGACAGGAUCAAAGACUCUAAAGCUAAGAGGGCAUACUGAUAACAUCCGGGCUCUGCUUCUGGAUUCUAGCGGCAGAUAUUGUUUAUCAGGAUCUUCAGACUCUAUGAUAAGGCUUUGGGAUAUCGGUCAGCAAAGAUGUGUGCAUUCUUAUGCUGUUCAUACAGAUUCUGUCUGGGCACUUGCCAGCACCCCAACAUUUAGUCAUGUUUAUAGUGGAGGGAGAGACUUUUCCUUAUACUUGACAGAUUUGCAAACUAGAGAGAGUAGUUUGGUCUGCACGGGCGAGCACCCUAUUCUUCAAUUGGCUUUGCAUGAUGAUAGCAUAUGGGUUGCAUCAACAGACUCUUCAGUUCGCAGAUGGCAUGCUGAAGGAUGCAACCCUGAAAAGAUUUUCCAGAGCGGCAAUUCCUUUUUAGCAGGAAACUUGUCUUUUUCAAGAGCAAGAGUGUCUCUAGAAGGAUCUACCCCUGUUCCUGUAUAUAAAGAACCUACCUUAACUAUCUUGGGUACACCUGCAAUAGUACAACAUGAAGUUUUGAAUAAUAAGAGGCAUGUGCUGACGAAGGAUGCUUCUGGUUCAGUAAAGCUAUGGGAGAUUACCAAAGGUGCUGUGAUUGAAGAUUACGGAAAGGUUUCAUUUGAGGAGAAAAAGGAAGAGCUAUUUGAGAUGGUUAGCAUUCCUGCAUGGUUUACAGUGGAUACCAGGCUUGGAAGUUUGUCUGUUCAUUUAGACACUCCCCAAUGUUUUUCCGCAGAGAUGUAUUCAGCAGAUCUUAACAUUGUAGGCAAGCCUGAAGAUGAUAAGGUUAAUUUGGCUCGAGAAACCCUUAAAGGAUUACUUGCUCCUUGGUUGAGAAAACGAAAGCAAAGAUCGGGCUCCUCAGCUCCAGCUAAUGGGGAGUUAUUAUCUGGAAAGGAUACUGCUUCAAGAAGUAGUACCCAUUCAAGAGUUGAGGUUGAUGGUAGUUCUGAUAAUGAUGCUAUGGUUUAUCCUCCGUUUGAAUUCUCAGUUACCUACCCGCCUUCCAUUAUUACUGAGGGCACUCAUGGAGGUCCAUGGAGGAAAAAAACUACCGAUUUAGAAGGAACCAAGGAUGAUAAAGACUUCCCCUGGUGGUGUUUGGACUGUGUUUUGAAUAAUCGGUUACCUCCCAGAGAAAAUACCAAAUGCAGUUUCUAUUUGCAACCUUGUGAAGGCUCUUCAGUCCAGAUUCUCACACAAGGGAAGCUAAGUGCCCCACGUAUAUUAAGAAUUCACAAAGUUGUUAAUUAUGUAAUAGAGAAGAUGGUGCUUGACAAACCUUUGGAUAGCUUAAACGCUGAGUCUAGUUUUUCCCCUGGUCUUACUGCGUCACAGUCACAGCAUCAAGUAGUUGGCGAUGGAUCUUUUCGAUCUGGAUUUCAGCCUUGGCAAAAGCUUAAACCUUCUAUUGAAAUAUUGUGCAACAACCAGGUGCUGUCUCCUGAAAUGAGUUUAGCCACAGUGCGAGCUUAUAUAUGGAAGAAGUCCGAUGACUUGAUUCUAAAUUAUAGACUAGUUCAAGGAAGGUGACUACAAAUUGCAUAAUGCAUUAGAGAUUGGAUUGAAGUCAGCUCUAACCAUGUCUGAAUGUUCAUUAUUGGUUUUCUUGUGAUUAUGUAAAAUACUUCUGGGCACGAAUUCUUCUUGGGUUACCUGCAUUGAUAUGUGGUAUUAUAGGAAUUUGUAAAUUUUGGGCCGUCAUCUAUCACCAAAUUUGGUGACAUUCUCUAGAGCUGCUUGGAUAGUUUUUUCUUUAGUGGAGAGUUGUUACUGUAAAUUUUGAGCUAGAUCUAGCCGGCAUGCAUGCUUCUGCUGGACACGGCAUCGUCUGCAUCUGGCAUGAAGAAGGUUUUUAUUGACUCUAUUCAGAAUUAGUAGGGGAUUCAUACUGGCAUAGUGGGGUGUUUUCAGGAAUCAGGUAGUUCAUUUAGAUGACAACAAAAACACUGUAAAUUUGAAUUGUGCGUUAAAUAUCUGGCCAUAGAAAUUUUGUUAAUUGGUAAUUGCUAAUAAUAUUAUUCUCAUUUCUUCAAA